GGCUUUGCCAAUGUUCUGUUGUAAUAGAACUACGUUUCAGUCUCAAAACAUUUCGUUAAUUACCAAUGGAUAAGAAAUGAAAGCAGCGAGGUGAAACUGAAAUUUUUACCACUGCGCAACGUCCAAUUCGCUUAUGAUCUUCGACACUUGGCUUCUUUGGAAGAUACACGCCGAAGAGAUUCUAGAAGAACCGCAGUUCUGAAGUUUCAGAUGGACUGUACCUGGGCACAAAAUGUCGGUCGAAGUAAAAGCAAUCGCGACCCACGCGUCGUAUUAAAACGAAAUCGGUUUGCAACAGC